CAGCCGCCGCGGUAAUACCGGCGGCCCGAGUGGCGGUCACUAUUAUUGGGCUUAAAGCGUCCGUAGCCGGGUUGGGAAGUCCUCCGGGAAAUCUGGCCGCUUAACGGUCAGAAUGCCGGAGGAUACUCCCAGCCUAGGGAGCGGGAGAGGCCGAGGGGAUUCCCGGGGUAGGGGUGAAAUCCUAUAAUCCCGGGAGGACCCCCUGUGGCGAAGGCGCUCGGCUGGAACGCGUCCGACGGUGAGGGACGAAGGCCAGGGGAGCAAACCGGAUUAGAUACCCGGGUAGUCCUGGCUGUAAACGAUGCGGACUUUGUGUCGGACAAGCUAUGAGCUUGUCCGGUGCCGGAGGGAAACCGUUAAGUCCGCCGCCUGGGGAGUACGGCCGCAAGGCUGAAACUUAAAGGAAUUGGCGGG
rnacentral:rRNA from 1 species